rnacentral:rRNA from 1 species
GCAGCCGCCGCGGGAAUACGGAGGGUGCAAGCGUUAUUCGGAAUUACUGGGCGUGAAGCGCACGCAGGCGGUUGCCCAAGUCAGAUGUGAAAGCCCCGGGCUUAACCUGGGAACUGCAUUUGAAACUGGGCGACUAGAGUAUGAAAGAGGAAAGCGGAAUUUCCAGUGUAGCAGUGAAAUGCGUAGAUAUUGGAAGGAACACCGAUGGCGAAGGCAGCUUUCUGGGUCGAUACUGACGCUCAUGUGCGAAAGCGUGGGGAGCAAACAGGAUUAGAUACCCGCGUAGUCCCUGUCUCUUAUAC